AGCCUGCCCCGCCCGCUGAAGCUGAGUCCGAGGCGCUGUGCCGCCUGGUGAGCGUCCCCACCGCGUGCACUCGUCCCCACCUCCGUCCUCUCCGCGAUGCUCCCAUCCCGUCUUUCCUGUGGGCCAUGCUCUCUGCUCCCAGGCCUUCCAGACGAUUCGGGAUGGCAGCCGUCUACUACACGGAGUUUCAAAAGAAAAGAGAUCUGAGCCUCCUCCUCAAGCCUGGCCUCUUGGCAUCGUAGUCCAACGCCCAUCACCCCGGAGAGAACAGAAGCCGGUUGAGCACAGCUCGGUAACUCUUGGCGUCCUGCUUGCAUCAGCAGCAUGGCCGGCUUUGUGAAGCCCACCUACCCGCUGUCCUCCUUUGUCCCAGACCCUGCUCAGAACCUCAAAGCCCAGCAGCAGAACCUGGUCCCCUUCCUGGAAUCAGACUAUGACCGGCGGAUGCAGCAAUAGGCCCUGCAUCCCGUGCGUGUCACCCGCACCCAGAGGCGGCUCCAGACACCCAGUUCCUGCCCGUGCCUUUCCUUCUCCCACAUCCCGACCAGCUGGCAACACUCCAGGAUGCUCCAGUCGUUAGAAGGGAGUGGACCCGGCGAGGGAAAGAGGAGCAGCAUUGAUUCAAUGCAGCAGGAGCACAGAGAUGAGCCCAAAUCUCGACGAAAGAGGGGCCCUGACGCAGUGCCCCUUUCUCACUUGGCCCCCAGUCCACCGUCCAGUUCCUGGCGGACCACAGACCAGAGGUCACCGUUCUCACCAAGAUCAAAUGUCACGCCGGUCUGUGGUGGGGCAUCAGCCCUGCCAACCGGGCAGCAAUGGUCCAGGAGCUCGCCAAUGCCACGGCCAGCUCCAUCGCCGCGUCCUGGACCGUUCAGAGGUAACCUGGCACCACCCGAACCCACAGCCCUCUGAGCUCCCCGGCUCUUUGCGAGACUUCCAGGUAAACAUCAGGACCUUCCGAGUCCACAGCAGCAGAAAAGUGUAAGGACUAACCUUGAAUGAGGACCGCGUGGCUGUCAGGUACCGUGUGCGUCCAUCCUGCCUUCCUCUUCUCUCCUCUCUCUGUCCAAAAAAAAAAAUUCUGUUUUGAACUUAUUCCUUGUUUGCCAAUCCUUCACCAUGGUUAACUUUUUAGAAUUAAUUUGUUUGUGUUUUUAGUUUUAGAGAUGCGUAAUUGAGAAGCAUUAAGACAAGUGGAUGCGUGUAUACACGCAUCUGCAUAUAAAAUGAGUGCAAAGUUUGAUGAAUUCUCACACCCUGAACACACACGGGUAAUCAGCACGCAGAUGAAAAAGCAGAAGCUCACCCCCCACUCGGAAGCCCGCCUCGUGAUUCCCUCCUUAGCUACCUGCCUCCCAAGGGAACCACCGCUCUGAAUUGUAACAAUCUCUUUCCCCGUCUGUCUGUCUGUCUUGUCUUUUUUCUUUCUCAGUCACUGUGUUUUGCUUUGUUUCAUUUCACGAUAGAGAACACUAGAACAAAACAAAAACCAUUUGUUUUAUUUUAAAUUAUAUGGUUAGAAAAAAACCUUGUUUUUAGAAUGGACUUUCUGAGGGCAAACAAUAUGUUACUUGCCCCCCAAAUAUUUUGUCGUCAUGUUAGUAGACUCUUUUAUCUUUUUGCUCUGUGGUCUGUUUUGUGUUUUGUUGCAGGUUUGGGGGGAAGGCGUUUAGAACUUUAUUAUAACGGGCUGCAGUGAUGCGCUAGCUGAAGAAGAAUCAACCGUGUGUAUUUACGGUAACUGUUUCCUUGAGGCAAAACUUAAAUUCCCAGAUAAGAGUGCAACUCGGUGGCUUUUGAGUGAUGCAUGUACGCAUGUACCCAUGUCCCCGCUACUCCUGUCAACAGAGAGCACCUCUGUCGUCCCAGAGAGGCCCCUCACGGCCUUUCUCGUCCGGAUCCACGCACGCAGGGCUCUGCUUUCCAUCACCGUGGGGCAGUGCUCUCUGUCCCUGAACUUCACAUGCCCAGACCGUGGACCUGCGCUCACCUGGACAGCUGCGCUUUUGAGAUGCGUCCAUACUGUCGCAUGCAUGCGUUGUCUUUUCAAUGU
rnacentral:lncRNA from 1 species